rnacentral:rRNA from 1 species
AAACCAACAGGGAUUGCCUUAGUAACGGCGAGUGAAGCGGCAAGAGCUCAAAUUUGAAAUCUAGCACUUUCAGUGUUCGAGUUGUAAUUUGAAGAAGGUAUCUUUGGAGUUGGCCCCUGUCUAUGUUCCUUGGAACAGGACGUCACAGAGGGUGAGAAUCCCGUGCGAUGGGGAGACCAAUUCUUUGUAAAGUUCCUUCGAAGAGUCGAGUUGUUUGGGAAUGCAGCUCUAAGUGGGUGGUAAAUUCCAUCUAAAGCUAAAUAUUGGCGAGAGACCGAUAGCGAACAAGUACAGUGAUGGAAAGAUGAAAAGAACUUUGAAAAGAGAGUGAAAAAGUACGUGAAAUUGUUGAAAGGGAAGGGCUUUUGAUCAGACUUGGUGUUUAGUACUCUCUACUCCUUGUGGGUGGGGCUCUUGCUUUAUACUGGGCCAGCAUCGGUUUGGAUGGUAGGAUAAUGGCAUUGGAACGUGGCUCCACUUGUGGAGUGUUAUAGCCCUUGCUGAUGCUACCUAUCUAGACCGAGGACUGCGUCUUUGACUAGGAUGCUGGCGUAAUGAUUAAAAGCCGC